UGCGCGCCGGGUCGACGGGGUGGAGGCUCAACGACGGGGGAGUGCCCGUUCCCCCGUUGCCCGACGCCGUGGCGCCCCCCCUACUUCGCCGCCGAGGUAGAGCUCGUGCGUGCCUCCCUCACCGACGAGCAGCUCGCCCUCCCCAACCACGCGGCGUGGGCGGCGUACUUCGAGCGCCGUCAGGAGCAGAGGCUGGGCAUAUUUCCUUCAGGGGCGUCGGUGGUGGGCGGCACGAAGAACAGCGAGGGGCGCCGCGUGUGGUGGGGCAUCCCCGGCCGCACGCUCGAGGGCGUGCUGACGCAUCCUGAGGGCGGCAACAACCCGCCGCUGGCAUACCCUCCCCAGGUGGCCGCCUCGGCCCACCGCCGACGCGCCGGGCAAUGGAUGCCCUGGAGGUUCGGCUCCUCCUCGUCUUCCUCCUCGCACUCCUCCUCACGGUUUUCUUCCCACUCCUCCGGCUCUCGGGCGCUGCUCGGCGUCAAGGCCGAGCCCGCGGCGGGGACGCCACUCGGCCAGCGCACUCGCAGCGCCGGCAUCGUCAUCAACGAGGACGGCCGGCGCGCCUCCUUGUCGGCUCCUCCGCGCUUCGUCAAGCCAAAGACGGAGCCGGGGCUCGCGCCGGUGAAAACGGAGCCGGGUCUCCCCGCCGUGAAGACGGAACACGACGACGCGGAGCUCGACGACGAGGCUGCCCUGAAAUGGGUGCACGAGGACUUCCUGAGGAUGGAGAGGGAGCGCCAGUGCGCCGCCCUGCGGCGCUUCAAGCAGCGUCGCCGGGGCCGCGACGAAGGAGGAGUCGUCGUCCUCGACGACGCGCCGCCGCCACCACCAGUCCGCCAUGGCGACGCCGGGCAGGGGUCCACCAGAGAUGGCCGUGUCAAGGAGGAGAAGGCCGCCACCGACGGCGGCGGCGAGGAUGGCAGCGACGACGGCGACUACUCC
rnacentral:rRNA from 1 species